rnacentral:rRNA from 1 species
AUUGAACGCUGGCGGCAGGCCUAACACAUGCAAGUCGAGCGAGCGGCGGACGGGUGAGUAAUGUCUGGGAAACUGUCUGAUGGAGGGGGAUAACUACUGGAAACGGUAGCUAAUACCGCAUACCAUCAGCUUUCCCCAUAUGGGAUUAGCUAGUCGGUGGGGUAACGGCUCACUUAGGCGACGAUCCCUAGCUGGUCUGAGAGGAUGAUCAGCAACACUGGAACUGAGACACGGUCCAGACUCCUACGGGAGGGAGCAGUGGGGAAUAUUGCACAAUGGGCGCAAGCCUGAUGCAGCCAUGCCGCGUGUGUGAAGAAGGCCUUCGGGUUGUAAAGCACUUUCAGCGGGGAGGCGUGACCCGCAGAAGAAGCACCGGCUAACUCCGUGCCAGCAGCCGCGGUAAUUC